CGGGAUAACACCUAGGAAACAGAUGCUAAUACCGGAUAACAACAGAUGAUGCCUAUCAACUGUUUAAAAGAUGGUUCUGCUAUCACUCUUGGAUGGACCUGCGGUGCAUUAGCUAGUUGGUAGGGUAACGGCCUACCAAGGCGAUGAUGCAUAGCCGAGUUGAGAGACUGAUCGGCCACAUUGGGACUGAGACACGGCCCAAACUCCUACGGGAGGCAGCAGCC
rnacentral:rRNA from 1 species